GACGUAGGGCGCAAGCGUUGUCCGGAUUUAUUGGGCGUAAAGAGCUCGUAGGCGGCUUGUCGCGUCGACUGUGAAAACCCGCGGCUUAACCGCGGGACUGCAGUCGAUACGGGCAGGCUAGAGUUCGGUAGGGGGAGACUGGAAUUCCUGGUGUAGCGGUGAAAUGCGCAGAUAUCAGGAGGAACACCGAAGGCGAAGGCAGUGUCCUGGGGAGUACCUGACGCUCAGGUGCGAAAGCCAGGGGAGCGAACGGGG
rnacentral:rRNA from 1 species